GUGAGACUGUUUUGGUGCAGGGCUCUUACAAGUGUGGUGGCACAAUUGUUGUCAAUGGAAGGGCUUAAAUGCUGUUAAAUGCCCUUUUCCAGCUGAGGGCAGGCAGUCCAUUCAUUGAAAAAAGGCACAAUCACGCUCAGCACGCCCCCUUGAAGAUUGUGGCUAAUGGCUGCCCCCCUGCAGACGUUCUGAUGCCUUGCCUACCGUCUGGUGUUGAGAGUGUUACAGAACUUGCUCAGAGACUUGGCUGACCAGGAAGAGGGAGUGACUCCCCUACCCCAAAACCGGAGGUUUCCGUGCUCUGGUUGGAUGGACAUCUGCGAUGUGAUUCAUGGCUACAAAAAUUAACUGCAGGAAGAUGCUCGUCUGCUUGUCCCUGUAUUCUGGGGUUCAUCAUCAUCAGCCAGCCUUGUUGCUUCAGUACCAAGCACAUGGGCUUGUAUUUGAACUUAUAGAGUUAUACCUGUGUAAAGCAAAUAAAGCAAUUUAGAAAUGAAACAAAA